CCUACGGGGGGCAGCAGUGAGGAAUAUUGGUCAAUGGGCUUACGCCUGAACCAGCCAAGUCGCGUGAGGGAAGACUGCCCUAUGGGUUGUAAACCUCUUUUGUCAGGGAGCAACGCCGGCUACGUGUAGCCGGACUGAGAGUACCUGAAGAAAAAGCAUCGGCUGACUCCGUGCCAGCAGCCGCGGUAAUACGGAGGAUGCGAGCGUUAUCCGGAUUGAUUGGGUUUAAGGGGUGCGUAGGCGGGCUGCUAAGUCCGCGGUAAAAGCCCGGGGCUCAACCCCGGCGAGCCGUUGAAACUGGUUGUCUUGAGAUGUCGAGAGGUAUGCGGAAUGCGCAGUGUAGCGGUGAAAUGCUUAGAUAUUGCGCAGAACUCCGAUUGCGAAGGCAGCAUACCGGCGGCGAUCUGACGCUGAGGCACGAAAGCGUGGGUAUCGAACAGGAUUAGAUACCCCUGUAGUC
rnacentral:rRNA from 1 species